UUAAUUGUUAUGGAGACUUUAUCCCUCUCUUUAGCACAGAGCCAGGUGCAGCACAGGAAACCUCAUGGGGAAAUUUUUAUUGCUAAUGUGCCUCAACCCUGUUCUGGAGGGCUCAUCUCCAGUGGUGACAGGGUAGAGCCUCCAGGCCCAUUCAAGCUAUAACUGAA
rnacentral:sRNA from 1 species